UCAACUCUAUCACCAUUAUAGAGAAAGGUUUUCAUUUUUCUUUCUUCUCAAUUUCUCCUAAGAUUAGGUUUUUGUUUUUCCUUUCUCUUUUUCUUUCAAUUUCAAAACAAUGAAGGAUUUCAAUUCAGAUUUAUUUCUCUUAACACUGAAGGAUUUCUCCUAAGACUGAGAUGAAGGAUUUUUGUUUUUCCUUUCUCUCUUUCUCGUUUACUCUCGCCGUGGUUAUUUUCUGAUUCCGAUGUCGAUUGGGAUAGCCAUCGUAAGCAGAGGCGCGAGGAUUCUUCUGAUUUCGAUGCAGAUUCUUUCUUGAAUUGCUUAAAUCCUUCGUUCACUCUUCAACUUCAUCUUCAACUUCAUCAUUGACGUUUCUACACAGGUAAAUGGAAAACCAAUUUUGCAGCUUCUACUUUUCAAUUUCAUCACUUUGUUUCUAAUUUUUGCAUGUCUAGUUUUGUAUCUCUCAAUCCCUAAUCGUAUACCAGUAAUCCAAAGCAAGUAUAGGAUUCUGCAUUUCACUUAAAUACAUAUGUUAGGCAAAUUAUAUACAUAUUCCCAACAUGAAUAUAAGUAUGAACAUCUGUGCAUUGUGUAAAUAUGGUAAUGUGCAUCCAUUAAAAUUUCUUAUUUUUAUGUGAUAUACUUCCUUGACACGUUCGUACUGCUGGGAUUCCAACACCAAGGAGAAUGUCUCAACUUGAGAGAAAUCUUGUCAAAAAAUGGUCAAAUUUCUCUGGACGACUUGAGGCAGAAGAAUUCAGGGCUCUUUUUAAGUUCUCGUGCCAUUCAGGUAAAUUCCUCUCCUGCAUUCUCUCACUCUGAUGUGUGCACACUUGUGUUCUACAGCCCCUCACUGUUUUUAGAGAUGAAUGAUAUCCUCUAACCCUUUCCAAAAUAUUUAACAAUUUUCCCAUUCAACAAGCUGAAUGAUAAUGUUGGAAUUGAAUAUUUAACUAUCCUAAUAUAUUUAUACGUGAUAUUUGUAGUUUAAUGCCUUAAUUGGGAAUAAGAAUGGAAGUAUUAGGCUAUGGCUAUGAUCUAGACUGUUAACUCUGGUGAUUAGAUUGAAUAUUUGGUUCAGAGGAUCACUGUAAACUGUCUAAUUGGGAUGACUCUGAACACACUUUGACCUUCUAAUUGGUGGAAGAAAAAGGCAUAUGGUUUUGCCCCCUUUGUGGCUAUUCAUUAUUUAACUCGAGUCAUACAUUUCUUGCAGGAUGGAAGAUUUGUCACAUCCAGGUUCUUGAUGAAUUAGAAGUCUGUAUUUGUACAUGUUAUAUUGUAUUGUGCUCAACUUGCUCAAGAGCAAGUUAAAUCUAAAGGUGCCCUGAAUUUUGUCUUCUAUGUUGUGGUUCACCAGAACUUUAUUUCAUUUUUCUUAGGUUGAUGACUUAUGCUUUAGAGUAUUCAACCAAUUCGCUAUACUUGUGGUCUGAUUUUAAAUUUGAAUUGGGACAUUCAUUUAUCUGUUGUGAUUUUAAAUUUAAAUAUGCUUGUAUGGGGAAAAAAGGGAAUCCAAAUUAUGUUCUAGCUUAAGAAGAAUAUACAGUGUUAGCAUUAAAUACUAGUUAUUUGUAUCACAUUAUGAAUUUAUGAUAUGUAUUCCAUGCAGAUGGUAGUAUAUGGAAUUAGAAGGUUCUAUAAUAUUGUA
rnacentral:lncRNA from 1 species